AGAGACAUCUGUACUUCAGGUGAAGAGAUCAUCUGCACAAGUGCUGCUGCUGAGAUUAGGAGUUUUUCUCCACUGCUGACCAGAAUUCUAGAUCACUGCAUGUGGCGAUAUCAAGGAUUCUCAUUACAUGUGUUUAUACUCACCAGUUCUAAAUUAUGGUAUAAUAAGAUGUCCAAUCUAUGUCAUGAUAAUUAAAAUCCCUCAGUAAAGGAAUUUGGCCAGAUU